AGUGGCGAACGGGUGAGUAAUAUAUCGGAACGUACCCUAGAGUGGGGGAUAACGUAGCGAAAGUUACGCUAAUACCGCAUACGAUCUAAGGAUGAAAGUGGGGGAUCGCAAGACCUCAUGCUCGUGGAGCGGCCGAUAUCUGAUUAGCUAGUUGGUAGGGUAAAAGCCUACCAAGGCAUCGAUCAGUAGCUGGUCUGAGAGGACGACCAGCCACACUGGAACUGAGACACGGUCCAGACUCCUACGGGAGGCAGCAGUGGGGAAUUUUGGACAAUGGGCGAAAGCCUGAUCCAGCAAUGCCGCGUGAGUGAAGAAGGCCUUCGGGUUGUAAAGCUCUUUUGUCAGGGAAGAAACGGUGA
rnacentral:rRNA from 1 species